rnacentral:lncRNA from 1 species
UUAUUUUACUUUUUUUUAUUUCUGUCCUAAGGAAGGUGUAUAGAGGAUGGGUUAGCCGCUGUUUAACGGGGUUCACGUUGAUUGUUGUGCUUAGUGACCUUACUUCACCAGAGUGGGUGUGUGUGUGGGUAUUAAGCGUGUUGUGUGUGUGUGUGUGAAUUGAGGGUCACAGCAGGCCAUCUCCCUCCCUUAAGCUUUCUUGUGUAUUUGUAUUAUGUUGUAUUCAUUUUUUAUUUAUUGAAGUGUUGUAAAGUGUUUAUUUUUCUUUUCUUUUGUUGACACGUGAAUAUUUAGCCCUUGAUGGCAAGGCAGCGGUGUGUUAUUUGUGUAAAAUCUCCUCGGUGUUGUGGUAAAGGGGAGUUACAAGAAUUAAGGGAAUUGGUAGCACAGCUAAAGGCUGAUAAUGAGAAAUUGCGCCAAGAACGUGUAUGUGCUCCAUUGUUGUCAAAUAAUGGUGUUUCUAGUGUUGCAGAGGCUCCCGCCACCGUGUCCCAACCCGUGAGUGCUGGUGCCACCUCAGCUGAGAGGUUUGUGUUUGUACCUCGUGAUCGGCGAUGUCCAAAAUUUAACGGCCGGGCUGGCAUCAGCAUUGACGAAUGGGUUGAGGAAGUUCAGGCGUGUAUGCAGGUGCGCCAUCUUUCUAUUGCUGAUCGAGCGUUUUUUGUAUUUGACCAUUUGGAGGGGGAAGCACGGGAGGAGAUUAGGCAUCGACCUAGUGUUGAACGAGGGGAUUGCGAUAAAAUUAUUUCCGCAUUGAGGGAAUUGUAUGGCUGUUCUCAGUCAUAUGUGGCUCUGCAGGAGGCAUUUUUUUCUCGUAAACAACGUGAGGGGGAGACCCUAUUAGAGUUUUCUUUAGCUUUGAUGGGCCUUUGGAAGUCUGUUGAAGAAAAGUCCCCUUAUGCUAUGCCAAAUUCAGAAACCCUUGUGCGUGACCAAUUUGUAGAACAUGUGAUAGAUAGCGCCUUACGUCGUGAGUUGAAACAAUUGGUACGUCGCUUACUGAAUCUUUGGAUGAUAUUAUGCACUGUAGAUGAUGAUAACUUCAAACUCUUUGCAAUUUUUCUCUGAGAAACUCCUUUCUGAUAUUGUUCCACUAUUUUUCGCCGCAGCAUUGGGGGAAUUGGUGAUCCUCUGCCCAUCUUGACUUCUGAGAGACACUGCCACUCUGAGAGGCUCUUUUUAUACCCAAUCAUGUUGCCAAUUGACCUAAUAAGUUGCAAAUUGGUCCUCCAGCUGUUCCUUAUAUGUACAUUUAACUUUUCCGGCCUCUUAUUGCUACCUGUCCCAACUUUUUUUGGAAUGUGUAGCUCUCAUGAAUUCCAAAAUGAGCCAAUAUUUGGCAUGACAUUUCGAAAUGUCUCACUUUCAACAUUUCAUAUGUUAUCUAUAUUCUAUUGUGAAUAAAAUAUAAGUUUAUGAGAUUUGUAAAUUAUUCCAUUCCUUUUUUACUCACAAUUUGUACAGUGUCCCAACCUUUUUGGAAUCGGGUUUGUAAUUUUGCUUUACCCACGCACUCAUUUAGGAACUUUAACUAGUGUUUAUGUUGUCAGUUUACCAUCAGGGGUUACGGAGGUUAAAACUAUCUCUGCUACCGUUAACGUGCAGGUCUCUCAUGAGUUGCCUACGGUUGAAGAGCAGAUAAAGGCUACUGAUUUGUCUGUGUUGUCACUGGAGGAUCAAGAACGUGUUCAGACUCUGCUCUGGCAGUACCAGUCGGUGUUUUCUGUACAUGAGGGGGAUUUGGGGUGUACUACCCUGUUGUCGCAUGAGAUCCCACUGAUGGAUGAUACCCCAGUUCGGCAGCGGUACCGUCGAAUACCCCCAUCGGAGUAUGAGGUGGUAAAGGCCCAUAUCAAUAUGUUUGUUGGAGGCUAAGGGUAGUACGUACGGACGAG